rnacentral:tRNA from 1 species
GGAGGUGUAGCGAAGCUGGUUAUCGCGCCGGCCUGUCAAGCCGGAGAUCGCGGGUUCGAUCCCCGUCACUUCCGCCA